rnacentral:misc_RNA from 1 species
AACGUACAUUACACUUCUUGGUAUUCCGAGGAGUAUGCCUGUUUGAGAACCGUUUCAAUCCUCACACCUAUUGUUUUUGACUAGCUCAAAGGCGAUAAAGUGUGGACUUGAGCCAUCACCGGUCAAACGGAGUGGCUUAAAAUGGAUAAUCGGUGAUAGUACAUAUCAAAAGCUCCAAAACCGAUAGACUUGAUGAUGGGAGGUUCGCCUUCUUUUUUAAGUCGUUCUGGUCGAAAGAGCCUUGUGCUGUUGACGAUGAAACUGUUAAACAUGCCAGGCACUCAACUUUGUUGGGUGAAAACCUGAACUCAUGGUCUCAAAUCAGGUAAGAGAACCCGCUGAACUUAA